GUACACGCCCAGGAAUAAGGGGAAUUCCUCCUCCCAUAGACAGUUAAAGAGAUUGCUGUUGAAUUAAUUUAGUUGUUUACAAUAUAUUCAACAAAAAAAAAAAUUUAAGAAAACUAUGUGAUAGUCUGCGUUAUAAUGCAUUUGGCACUGGUGGUGUUGGUUUAUCUCGCCGCAGUCUUGGUUCCAGUGCUGGGCUGUCUUCCAAAGGAAUAUGAAACAAGGGAUGGGCAGUGCUGUCCGAUGUGCAGCGAAGGUACAGUUGUCAGAAUAGACUGCACACCGCAGUCGGGCACGCGGUGCAGCCCGUGUGUGAAUGGGACCUUUAUGAAAAAACCCAACGGCCUGCGUAGCUGCAUCCCCUGCAUCGUCUGUGACCAAGGUCUCUUUGUCAAACAGGCGUGCACAGCAACGACUGACACAGUCUGUGAUGUUUUAAGUGGGCAUUUCUGCAAAGAGUUGAUAGAUGAUACAGGAUGUAGUGUGGCACAGAAACACACGCACUGUGCACCUGGUGAGAGGAUAAAAGAACCAGGAACCCGGCAAACUGACACAGUGUGUGAACAGUGUCAGCCGGGCUUCUUUUCAACGGAUGGAGUGAAUUGCACCAAUUGGACGAUUUGCUUAGAUACCCAGGUGAAGGUCAGAGAAGGAAGCAGGAUCAGUGAUGUUAUAUGUGGAACGGCCUCAAGACAGCACUACUGUUACAUCCCUGUAAUAUUAAUAGCAUUAACACUCGCUGGGCUUGUGAUCACAGGCAGACUUUUACCAAAAGAAAUAAAAGUAAGUUCUCCGUAUCUGUUUAUCACAUUUUGCACCCCAUGAAAUACUACUUAGAAAUGUGUUAAUAUCAUUUUGAUUUCCUUUUUUCUCCAACUACAUAGACUCCAGUAAUGGAAGACGCUGACUAGGUUUCCGUUUAUUAUUCCAUUUAUUCCGACAGUUCGAACACCAAAGUUAAAAACAUCAGUGAUUAUAUAGAUUAGAAUAGAUUGUUUUGGUGUAUGUUGCUUAGUGUUGGGGUCUUAGAAAUGUUGGCACCUUUUCAAAAUAUUACUACUAAUAAUAAUAAUAAAUAGAAUUUUCUGUAAGUUUUAACACUAAAUAAAAUAAAAAUAGUCUUAACAAGUUUACAACUACCCAUGCAGCUGAGUUCUAACAGACUAAUCUACAGAUAUCUUGUAUAAUCU